UGGGGAAUAUUGCACAAUGGGCGCAAGCCUGAUGCAGCCAUGCCGCGUGUAUGAAGAAGGCCUUCGGGUUGUAAAGUACUUUCAGUCGGGAGGAAGGUGUCAAGGUUAAUAACCUUGGCAAUUGACGUUACCGACAGAAGAAGCACCGGCUAACUCCGUGCCAGCAGCCGCGGUAAUACGGAGGGUGCAAGCGUUAAUCGGAAUUACUGGGCGUAAAGCGCACGCAGGCGGUUGAUUGAGUCAGAUGUGAAAUCCCCCGGCUCAACCGGGGAGGGUCAUUGGAAACUGGGAGACUUGAGUGCAGAAGAGGAGAGUGGAAUUCCAUGUGUAGCGGUGAAAUGCGUAGAUAUAUGGAGGAACACCAGUGGCGAAGGCGGCUCUCUGGUCUGUAACUGACGCUGAGGCUCGAAAGCGUGGGGAGCAAACAGG
rnacentral:rRNA from 1 species